rnacentral:rRNA from 1 species
CAGAGGGUGCGAGCGUUGUUCGGAAUUACUGGGCGUAAAGCGCGCGCAGGCGGCUUCUUAAGUCCGUCGGUCAAAUGCCGGGGCUCAACCCCGAGCGUGCCGAGGAUACUGGGAGGCUGGAGACAUGUAGAGGCAAGCGGAAUUCCGGGUGUAGCGGUGGAAUGCGUAGAGAUCCGGAAGAACACCGGAGGCGAAGGCGGCUUGCUGGGCAUGGUCUGACGCUGAGGCGCGAAAGCGUGGGGAGCGAACAGGAUUAGAUACCCUGGUAGUCCACGCCGUAAACGAUGGGCACUAGACGCGGGUGGGAUCGACCCCUUCGUGUCGAAGCUAACGCGAUAAGUCGCCCCGCUGGGGAUACGGCCGCAAGGCUG